AUCCAGCUGACGAGUCCCAAAUAGGAUGAAACGCACUUUGUCCUGGAU
rfam:Schistosoma mansoni strain Puerto Rico chromosome 4, complete genome